AGCUCUAUAGCGCAGUGGCAGCGCGUCGGGUUUAUAACUCGGAGGUCCUCCGAUCGAAACGGAGUGGAGCUA